GCUUAGACAAUUAAAUCAAUGAAGCUAAAAGUCAUUUUCUUUCAAAAACAGGGUGUACUUAUUCAAUAUACUAGUUAGUUACUGGUUGUUUACCUUUAUUUGGCUUUGUUUUGAUAUUGGGCUCGGUCACUACUCUAUAAUAAUUCCCUAAGUUUUAACUAAACAACAUUCAUUUACUUAAUUGUUUAGAAAUAAAAUAAAAUCAAAGAUAGAAAUCGAAAACAUGGUAACAACACCAUAUCCUUCUAAACAUUUAGAUUAGUAUUAUGAUGGGUGGAAAGUGUUUGUUUAAAUGAUCUGAAGCCAUAUACAUGAUUAGAAAUGCCAUGCGAUUUUCUUGUCAUGCAAUAUUGUUCUUGUUAAUAUUACAAUGUCGGCUUCUUGUUCUUGAAUAAUUUACUUUAACACUUUAAUGAUGUUAGACUUGUAAUUACAAUUACAGUUAGUUAAGAGACACUUGUUUCUAUAAGUGAAUAGGUAUCAUAGAAGAAGGUGAUCGCUGAAGUUAAUUUGGAAAGCUUUGAGGUAAGGGGAAUCGCUAAUAAUAAGUUUCGAUGAGCACAAGAAAUGUGUUACUUGUAUAUAUAUUAUUAGUUAUAACUAGGGGUGUUGUGUAAUUUAUAUAGUAAUUUAUAUUCAUUAAGGUAUAAGCAAAAUGUUAAAUGAUGAGUGAUUGAUUUUAGUUUGAAAAUAUGCGUGAAUAAAUCUUCUGCAAUAUAUGAUUUGAAAAUGUUCAUGUGCUUGAGUGUUUUUGGUGAAAGUUUGAGGUGAUCUCAUAAGUUGUAUGGUGAGUUUUGAGGAUUAAUAUGUCUAAGUUA
rnacentral:lncRNA from 1 species